AAAAAAUUGCAUCAGACAAAUAGUAAACAUUCAAAUCUAAACGAAAUAAAAUCUAAUAUUAAAGUUUUGAUUAUCAAAAUCUGAAAAUAGAUGAGGAAAAUAUUUAAUAGCAUAUUUAACUGGAAGUUUAAUUAAAUUCAAAAAUUUUCUUGAUUUAUCAAUUAUCGAUUAAUUUAACUGGAAAUAAAAUUAAAAUUGAUAUAACCAACGAACGAUUUAUAUAUAUAUACAUACGUAGAUCGUUAGUUAUAUCUGGAUAGACUGCUGCUAAUGAUAUGUUGCUAGAAACACGAAACAACCACACUAGUGAAUUGGUGGGUGGGAUCUUAUGGUGCAAUAGUGCAUAUUGCACCCUUUUUACUAAUUAUUUGGAUCUGAUCAUCAUACUAACAUAUAUGAAAUACGUCUGGCCACCAAAACAAAGUCAAUCUGGUAUAUCCUCGAUUUUACCACGUUGUUGGUGGGCAGGCGGGACGGCGUGGCAAUGCAAUAUAUAUUUAGAUGGUUGGAUAUAACACCGUUUGAAUAUAACAACGAAACAUGAUGAAAAAUUAAUUCCAAAUAUUUUUACAGAAACUUCAGCGAAAGAGUUUUGCGCACAAUUUGAAUUGUCGAUCACACUUUCUGAUAAUGUCGAUAUUUUCGAGAAAGUUAGAAUAAAUUGUCAAGAAAAUUCUAUGGUGUUAUUCGAUGCUUUACAGAAAAAGUAUUAAAUGUAAUUGGAACACUCGACAAUAAAUCAUUCAGUUAAACAAUAUUAAUAUUAAUUAACGUGAUUAUUACAUUUCGUAAUUACUUUUUAGUCCAUGAAAGCAACUAGUGAAGGUACUGGCUAGUUUUGACCAUGUCUGAGUCUUUAAUAUGCUAUUUUUAAGAUAAUGAUAGUUUAUCCAUAUGACAGUGAUUAAUCUAUGAAAGAAAGUAUUUAGUAUUAUUUUCAAAUCUUUGAUAUAGUCGAAUAUAUCGGUGAUGAUUUAUUUAGAAAUUUUUAUAAUAAUUUACCAUGGAAGAUUCUCUCUUAAUUUACUCAACUGAUAGCGAUAGAAAAGGAAAACCGACAUGUCAGCUAAGAUUGUGACAAAGAAUUUUGAAUUUUUAUUAUUAGAGAAGCAAUUAUUUUGUUUCGGGUCAGUGUUACUUAAUAGAUUAUUAGAGAUUUUCUUUUAAUGAAUGAUAAAGAAACUCUUUUUCAUUUAGGAAGUUAAUGUAAAUAGUUUUUAUAUAAUUAAAAGAAAUAGCAGGCCACUUAUAGAUCUAACAUUUAAAGAAAAAAUGAAAAAUAAAGGGAGAAACGUAUAGAAAAGAAGGAUGAAGCAGUGAAAGGAAAUUUUGGCAAAAAUUGUGGCAGACGAUUAGCGAAAACAGCAAGGUCGCUUUUUACUAUAUGACUCAGAAGGGGAUAAAUACUUCUUUCUACCUGUAGAAGAAGUAAAGUAUAUAUAGUACAUAAAUGAAGGGAAAUUAUGGUAGUAAUCACUUUUUGCAGACUUUGUUUUUAGAACUCUGGAAAUAUGGGAAAAUAAUGAGAUGUUAUUAAAAUAACAUCAGUAUUCUAUUCUAGAAAACCAUCAUUAUUUUCUCAUGCAUAUAGUUUUUAAAUUUCUUUAUAGAUUAAAUUUCGAAAUUUUUCUUGAAAUUAUUUCUAU
rnacentral:lncRNA from 1 species